rnacentral:rRNA from 1 species
GGCAACCUGGUGGCGAGUGGCGAACGGGUGAGUAAUAUAUCGGAACGUGCCCAAUCGUGGGGGAUAACGUAGCGAAAGUUACGCUAAUACCGCAUACGAUCUACGGAUGAAAGCGGGGGAUCGCAAGACCUCGCGCGAAUGGAGCGGCCGAUAUCAGAUUAGGUAGUUGGUGGGGUAAAGGCUCACCAAGCCAACGAUCUGUAGCUGGUCUGAGAGGACGACCAGCCACACUGGAACUGAGACACGGUCCAGACUCCUACGGGAGGCAGCAGUGGGGAAUUUUGGACAAUGGGCGCAAGCCUGAUCCAGCCAUUCCGCGUGCAGGAUGAAGGCCUUCGGGUUGUAAACUGCUUUUGUACGGAACGAAACGGUCUGCCCUAAUACGGUGGGCUAAUGACGGUACCGUAAGAAUAAGCACCGGCUAACUACGUGCCAGCAGCCGCGGUAAUACGUAGGGUGCAAGCGUUAAUCGGAAUUACUGGGCGUAAAGCGUGCGCAGGCGGUUAUAUAAGACAGAUGUGAAAUCCCCGGGCUCAACCUGGGAACUGCAUUUGUGACUGUAUAGCUAGAGUACGGCAGAGGGGGAUGGAAUUCCGCGUGUAGCAGUGAAAUGCGUAGAUAUGCGGAGGAACACCGAUGGCGAAGGCAAUCCCCUGGGCCUGUACUGACGCUCAUGCACGAAAGCGUGGGGAGCAAACAGGAUUAGAUACCCUGGUAGUCCACGCCCUAAACGAUGGCAACUGGUUGUUGGGUCUUCACU